rnacentral:rRNA from 1 species
AGAGUUUGAUCCUGGCUCAGAGUGAACGCUGGCGGCGUGCUUAACACAUGCAAGUCGAACGGUAACAGGUCUUCGGAUGCUGACGAGUGGCGGACGGGUGAGUAAUGUAUAGGUAUGUGCCCCAUAGACUAGGAUAGCCACUGGAAACGGUGAUUAAUACUGGAUACUCCUUACGAGGGAAAGAUUUAUCGCUAUGGGAUCGGCCUAUAUUGUAUCAGCUAGUUGGUGAGGUAAAGGCUCACCAAGGCAAUGACACAUAACUGGUCUGAGAGGAUGAUCAGUCACACUGGAACUGAGACACGGUCCAGACUCCUACGGGAGACAGCAGUGGGGAAUAUUACACAAUGGAGGAAACUCUGAUGUAGCAACGCCGCGUGGAGGAUGACACAUUUCGGUGCGUAAACUCCUUUUAUUAGGGAAGAUAAUGACGGUACCUAAUGAAUAAGCACCGGCUAACUCCGUGCCAGCAGCCGCGGUAAUACGGAGGGUGCAAGCGUUACUCGGAAUCACUGGGCGUAAAGCGCGCGCAGGCGGGUUUGUAAGUUGGAAGUGAAAUCCACUGGCUUAACCAGUGAACUGCUUCCAAAACUACUUACCUAGAGUCUGGGAGGGGAAGAUGGAAUUAGUUGUGUAGGGGUAAAAUCCGUAGAGAUAACUAGGAAUAUCAAAAGCGAAGGCGAUCUUCUGGAACAGUACUGACGCUGAGGCGCGAAAGCGUGGGGGAGCAAACAGGAUUAGAUACCCUGGUAGUCCACGCCCUAAACGAUGAAUGUUAGUCGUCGGUAUGCUCGUCAUAUCGGUGAUGCACUUAACAGAUUAAACAUUCCGCCUGGGGAGUACGGUCGCAAGAUUAAAACUCAAAGGAAUAGACGGGGACCCGCACAAGUGGUGGAGCAUGUGGUUUAAUUCGAAGAUACGCGAAGAACCUUACCUAGCCUUGACAUUGAUAGAAUCCGCUAGAGAUAGUGGAGUGCCAGUUUACUGGAGCUUGAAAACAGGUGCUGCACGGCUGUCGUCAGCUCGUGUCGUGAGAUGUUGGGUUAAGUCCCGCAACGAGCGCAACCCUCGUGACUAGUUACUAACGGUUCGGCCGAGGACUCUAGUCAGACUGCCUUCGUAAGGAGGAGGAAGGUGAGGACGACGUCAAGUCAUCAUGGCCCUUACGGCUAGGGCGACACACGUGCUACAAUGGGCAGGACAAUGAGACGCAAUACCGCGAGGUGGAGCAAAUCUAUAAACCUGCCCUCAGUUCGGAUUGUAGUCUGCAACUCGACUACAUGAAGCUGGAAUCACUAGUAAUCGUAGAUCAGCCAUGCUACGGUGAAUACGUUCCCGGGUCUUGUACUCACCGCCCGUCACACCAUGGGAGUUGAUUUCACCCGAAGCGGGGAAGCUAAACUGGCUACCCUCCACGGUGGAAUCAGCGACUGGGGUGAAGUCGUAACAAGGUAACC